CUCCGUAAUAGUCUAGAUGGUUAGGGUACCUGGCUUGCACCCAGACUGUCCGGAUUCGAGACCCGGUCACGGGGA